GACGGAGGGUGCUAGCGUUGUUCGGAAUCACUGGGCGUAAAGGGUGCGCAGGUGGCCUGGCAAGUUUGAUGUGAAAGCUCGGGGCUUAACCCUGAAAUGGCAUUGAAUACUGCCGGGCUGGAGGUUUGGAGGGGGGACUGGAAUUCUUGGUGUAGCAGUGAAAUGCGUAGAUAUCAAGAGGAACACCAGUGGCGAAGGCGAGUCCCUGGACAACACCUGACACUGAGGCACGAAAGCCGGGGGAGCAAACAGG
rnacentral:rRNA from 1 species